GACGAACGCUGGCGGCGUGCUUAACACAUGCAAGUCGAACGGAAAGGCCCUGCUUUCGUGGGGUGCUCGAGUGGCGAACGGGUGAGUAACACGUGAGUAACCUGCCCUUGACUUUGGGAUAACUUCAGGAAACCGGGGCUACUACCGGAUAGGAGCUCCUGCUGCUGGGUGGGGGUUGGAAAGUUUCGGCGGUUGGGGAUGGACUCGCGGCUUAUCAGCUUGUUGGUGGGGUAGUGGCUUACCAAGGCUUUGACGGGUAGCCGGCCUGAGAGGGUGACCGGCCACAUUGGGACUGAGAUACGGCCCAGACUCCUACGGGAGGCAGCAGUGGGGAAUAUUGCACAAUGGGCGGAAGCCUGAUGCAGCAACGCCGCGUGCGGGAUGACGGCCUUCGGGUUGUAAACCGCUUUCGCCUGUGACGAAGCGUGAGUGACGGUAAUGGGUAAAGAAGCACCGGCUAACUACGUG
rnacentral:rRNA from 1 species